ACACACACACAAAAUAAUUGGUUUGCUUUCAUGGCAUACCCUUUGAUGUCUGGGGGGGAUUGUUUUUUAAAGAACCACUAUUAGUCAAGCAAAAGCUACCGAAGCAGACAGAAAGAAACUACUAAAAGUAUUUGAAAUAGAGGACAGUUUAUUAUUUAGGGCAAUGGGAUAAAGGUGCAGGAGAGUGGAAGUUCAAGUGCUGAAUCAUGUGGAUAUGCUUAGUAUGUAAAAUUGUUUAAUCUACGUGGUGACUCAGUUCCUUGUUUAUGACAGGAGGACAAAGCUUAACAGCCUUGUUAAUAAAAUAGAAUCUAUGAAUCCAUAUGAAUGAAUAUGGAAUGUGGACAUGAAGGUGAUGGCAACUUUCUCAGAACUUACCCAGUUUAUCCAGCCAGAUCUUGCUGCUGGAGAUCAUUUUGGAUCCUGCCUUAAACAAUAUUCUCUUGAAGAUCUUGUAAAAUGUUGGUCUCUGUGGUACCUGUUCAAACUGAAAUUAGAUCCUCAUUGGUUGUGACCUAAGACAAUGAAAUGAAACUAAAGAUGUAGCUCCAAAUGUACAGCUUUUGAGCAAAACACCAAAGUAGUUGUCCCAGAACAAAAUCGUCUCUAACAGAGAAGUGUUUGCACCAAUCAAAUACAUUAAUGAAGGAAUGCAAUUUUUUGAAGGUUCAGUUUGAAAGGUAUUUUGGAAGGACCUAAAUUUGCUACACAACUACUGUUCAGCUGCAGGCUAUGGAUCCAUAAGAUCUACUUCCAGAGAGUACCAGGUGCUAUUUAACAUGAAAUAAGGGUUUUCUCUCAAUCUGAAGUUCAAUUGCCCAUAUUUUCUCUAUCCCACCUCAGUUUUCUGAGUCACAAGGAUGUAUCUUGUACCUGUAUAUUAAUGGCAACAUUUGGUUUCUGUUACAAACCUCUCUUCCCACAAGUACGUGGUGGUGUUGUGUAGAACGCACAUUCCCAUAAUCAUUUCAUAUGUUUUCAGUCUUAAAAAUAAAGUUUAUAUAAUGAAAAUACAAUAUAAUUACACACAUGGGAGUUCUGGUUUGGAAGAGGUUCAGCAGAAUUCUUUGAUAAAACAAGCCCCUGACCACAAAAGCUGCAUGCAGUGAUUUGACAGUCAGACAUGUAUAAUCACUUACUCUAAAUUAAAGGCAGUGUCACCAUGGUAAGAGCAGCACACUGAAAUCCCUUCUGUCACUUUUGGCCAGCUAGUGACAAAUCCUGUAAACUUAACCAAAAUGCAUCCUCGAAUAAACUUUGAGGAACUUUUUUAAAAGGUGCUUGGGGUGGUGGGUUAUAUACGGAAAAGGAAGUGCAAAAUAUCUUUUUAUACAGGGUUAUUUUAUGAUACUAAUUGACCUCUCAUCAGCCUGGUCCUUUUUUAUUUUUUCUUUUUUUUUUUGCUUUGCACCAAUUUCUAGUAUCCAGAAAAGGACAUUUUUUUUCAGAGAAAAAAAAAUCUCAUUAGACAGAACAGAGGUGUCAAAAUCUUUGAAGGUCAACACCCUAUGGUUUCUAGGUGAGGUUUGCAAUUUGGUGUUCCUGCCAACAUCUCUCUGCAAAACACAUGAAGCCUUUUUCACUCCACCAAAACUGCCCCUUUGAGCAGAAAGUUCAUGGGCAAGAUGCUCCAUGGGUACAGAAUUUUGCAGCUCCACUGAAAGCAGCAGGAGGAUGCUGAUUUACCCCAGAUACGGAUCUGGUUUGCAGCGUGUCUCAAUCUGAAUUCACAGAGUGUGGAGUAAUGUGAAACAAGGAAGUGACUUUUGUGAAAAGCAUUUUUGGAAAGGAAAACCAAAAAUGAUGGAUGUACCACUGGGGCAGAGGGAGUGGAGCCUGCCUCAAAGAAGGCCUUGUAGAGCUGCCAAUCUUGCCACAAAAUGGGCUGCUGCCCUCAGAGAGGAGGGGGAGGUUUCUCCAGGACAAAUGCAGCCACACCAAGCACCCUAGAACCACUUUGUAGAUAUUUUUAUGUACCGUCACAUCAAAACCAGACAGAACUUCCAAAACAUUUGAAUUUGACCCAUCACUGAUUAAUGGAAGGAGGAGAAGGAGAAUGGGUGGGAAGAAUAGUCAUUGUGAACUGCCAUAACACUGGGCGGCAAGCCAUGCUAUUCAACAAAUGAGACAAUACAUUAAAAAACAAAACUCUGUUUUCAGGGGCCUUCUAUAUAUAUCAAGAGCUUGAUUCACAGACCACUGAAGUUAAUGGGAAUCUUUCCUGUGACUUUAACCAGCUAUUGGCCCUGCUGUUACAAAAGAGGAAUUAAUAUAAGUUUGCACUUAGUGUCUCAAUUAGAAGAUUGCAAGGUAGAAUAAAACAUUGGUAGUUAGUUGAUUCUAAUUAGUCAGAAUGCACACUCGUUUUUGCCCGCCUGUCUGUAGUGUGUCUUACUAUUGUAGCUAUUAGCAUAAGCCAAUAGCAGAGAAAAGACUUUAAAAAAGAAUUUUGCCCACCGGUCUGUAGUGUACCUUACUAUUGGAUCUAUUAGCAUAAGCCAAUAGUAGAGUAAAGAUUUUUAAAAAGACAAAAAAUGCACACAAUGACAAGAAAAAUAGUUAAUAAUUUGUGUUCCACCUGAUAUUUAAAGCUCUGCAAACAUAAUUAGUUGGGGGUUUGAGGGGGGAAAUCUGAUUUUCAAAUAUUGGAUACCUUUUUAUUCCUUCUUUCUGUUUCUUUCCCUCUGGAAGCAAUUAGCUCAAUCAUAUUACAAACCUUAUCUCUUCAGCUAUGCAAGUGACAUAUUGCCAUUCCAGUUAAAUGUGCAGCAGUCCUUUGUGAGGAACAGGAUUGUUCAUUUCCAUAGGAGUUCAAGAUGGGGAGAGUAAAUCAUCCUCUUCCUGAUCCAACUGAGCAAAUGGAAAAGGUGACCCUCCUCCUUUUGCCAUAACUCUGUUGGAAGUCCUGCCUCCACCAAUCUGCUGGCAGAGAGGGCAGGAUGAAACUUUGCAAAUUGCUUAGUUGUGCAAAGUUAAAUUCUCAGUCUAAUUAGGGGAAUUAAUUUCUCCUGGGUGCUGUAACAAAUUUUACCCAAGUUAGCUCAUCAGGAAAGACUGAGCUGUGAGGGUACCUGUGACAGCUCGCUGCUUCCACAGGUAAAGAGGGGCAGUCACCAGGGAAAAGGAAAUCAAUUCCUCAUGCCCACUUAAAGGUAUUUCCUGCAGGAUGUUCUUGGACAGAAUCUUUGUAAAUCCACAAGACAGUCAUUAGAUCCUCAGACCUGUUCAGCAAAGCUCUCUUGAUCAAGCUUAAAGUGUGCAUAAAACUCAACAGUUUUCCAGAUAAUCUUCACCACUUCCAGAUAAUUUUAACCAUCUUGGCACUUCUGUUUUGCCAAGGGUUUCCCUUGUAUGGCUGGAGUAUAUCCCACAGUAUUUCUCUCUGUCUUUGGGAAUUUGAGGCUGCAGCUACACUGAUUCCACCAGAUCAGCAGAAAUACUUGUGUUUUCCUUCACCCAUCACUUCUUUUCUCUCUUAUAUUUGUGACCUCAUUAAUAGAAAAUCAAUAUUUAGUGUCAUUAAGGAUCAGGACUAAAGACAUUUGUGGAGCAGAACUUUGUCAGUGAGCCAGUCACAGCUCAACUGAAAUGAUGUUUUGGUGUUUCUACAGCACAGGAAAUGCUUGUAUCACUUUUCCCCUUCCUCUCAUAUGUAAAUGCAAGCAUAUUUAAUAUCCUGGACACUUCCACUUGGUAAUGUUGGCAGAAAGUGACACUGCUGACCUGAAGUGAUCACUUGACACUGGGAAAUCAAAUAGCAGCAGCAAAUUAAGGUGACACUGAAGUUACUGUAAAUAUUGUCAUUCCUUCCAUGGCAAUAUGUGCCAGUAAGGAAAAAAGAAUUCUCCUCAUCAUACUUCAUGUAAAUAUCACAUGGAUUAUGUCUGUGUUUCAUCCAAGAAAUGCCAGCUUCAGCAAUUUCAGUGUAGAAGACUAGAACAGUUCAUAUCCAUUGAAUUCUACACUUAUGGACACCUGAAAUUCCACAGAUGAAGAUGUUGCCACUUUUCACUCUCCAUGGCAGAAAGGUUUUUUCUUUUAUUUUGACUUUUCUGUCUUUCUGAAAGGAUUUUUUUCCUCUCUCUUUUUUUUUUUUUUUUUUUGAUUGGAGAAGAAAUGUUUAAUCUGUUUAAUCUCCUUGUUUAGGGCCAGCAGUAGUUCCUCAUUCAAAAGCCAGUGCAGAGGUGCUCACUGUAUCCAACUGACAUUUUUUCUGUUACUCAGGUAAAGGUUCUCAGCAUGUACUGAAGUUUAAAUACAAACUUUAGCUCAGAUUGGGGUAUUUUCCAAAGCAAAAUCCUAAAUUGCUCCUGCUAAAAUUUGGGGGGAAAAAUGUAAGGAGAAGCUAAGAUAAUUGCUGGGAAAAGUAGAUCCCCGGAGAAAGGCAAACAACCUGGCUCUCUGUUGACUUUGCCUGGGUCAAAGGGAAAAUGUGAGUCACUGGCUUCUGCUUACAUUUUUUCUUUCAUCUUAUUGAUAUCAGGAAUAUGAGUCCAGCUCUCCAAGGUUUUCUGCCCGAGUUCCUCUCUUUGCUUGCCUGCCUUCCCAAGACCAGUCCAUUUCCUCUCUUUUAUCUUGCACUGCAACUUUCAGCUCUGCUUGUUGGAGAGGCUCGAGCUGACUCUGUGCAGAGGCAAUGGCUGCUUGAAGGAAGAGCUAAAUGUUCAUGUAUAAAAACAUUUUGGCACACAAGUAGGUAAAAGGGUUCCAGCUACAUUGCAGGAAAACAGGCAUUUUCAUUCUUCCUGUUUUUCGGUAAGUCCAUGAAGUAAAUGAUUUGAUAUUUGGAAAAUAAAGAGGCGCCUACAUCUCUGUUUCAAGAGCUGCCUGGAUGGGAAUGGUUGCUGCUGGUGAACUUCCUUGCAAGUGUAGAAGUUUCAUGAUUGUCUCCCAUGAUUUGGCUUCACAAUUGCUGAUAAUGGUCUGGGUUUCUACGCAGGAGGGAAUGUUGGAGCAUCAGCAGGACUGUGGCUGCAGGGCUGGUGCCAAGGGCAGGCCCCUCAAACCCAGCACGGUUCCACCGUGACGUUCCAGCAGGAUCUCCAGGGCUUCUCCUGGGAAGGACGUGGGGCUCUUGGAUGUGAGACCACUGGUGGAGGUCAACUGCUGGCUUGUUGUGUGAUCCCAGACAAAGCCCUAGAGCUCCUUCUGACUCAUCUUCUCUGCCUGGAAAUCAAAUCCAGUUUCUUAAGGAACUUUUUGGAUCUUGGGUUAGAGGUACAGCAGAUUAUUACUUUCACCUAUGGAUUAAAUUCUGUUAUCAAAGGAAGUGAAAAUGUAAGUAGCAUGAGUUGGGUUGAGGAAUAGUGUGAAUUUCAAAUGGCAUAAGGCAUCUAAUGAAAAUUACAAUUGAAGAAUAAAAUACUGUUCCUUAUGCUGAGAUGAUGGCUGAAUCAAACCCAAAUUCUUUUAAAAGCCAUCUCAAUUGGAAACUAUUAGGUAAUUUCUUUGGAGAGUGGGGCAGGGGGUAGAUGAUAUUCCUUCUACAAUUACUGAGCCUUCUAUAAGUGAAAUGAUCUCUUUGCAUUCCAGUGAUGACCCCAGCCAUGGAUGAAAGCCGAGUUUCCCAUCUGACCUCUUGUUUUAAGUUUCUACCUGUGUAACUCUGCAUUGUGGAUAUUAACUCUCUGGGGCCUGUAGGUGAGCACAACACUGAGAGCAAAUGAAAGGUGGAGCUCUCCUUUAAGGAACCUGAAGUUUAAGGAGCGUUAUUCCCAGAGUUAACUCCAUUUGUGCUGGAAUUCCCUUGGAGAUCAAAUUCUACAGUGUGACUGCUUACAAAACCUGUGGGGCUCCAAAAACCCACAGAGGGAGGAAGUGGCUUGAAAACGGAACUCCAUGAUGAAAAUUGAACCCCAUGAUGAAAACUGAACCCCAGGAUGGAAACUGAACCCCAGGAUGGAAACUGAACCCCCUGAUAAUUAGAACUUUAUUAAAUAAAAGUGCUAAGAGAUGAGAUGCUGAGCAGUGGCACAAAGAGGCAUCCUCAAUGUGAGAAUCUCCCGAAGAACUCCACGCAGAACUCCACAUUCUGCUUGCCAAAAUAAAAAGGUAUGAAAAUUUGCACUUAGAAAACUCCAGUGGUUCCUGUCUGAGGGGCAGUUUCACAGACAGCUCUUGCCCCAGCUAGAGAGUAGACAGAGUAAUUGCAAAAUACUCUGCUGGUGUAAAUCAGGACAUGAUGUGUGUGCCCCAAACCUGGUGCUUUACACCCAGGGAGGAUCUGGCCUGUAGCUUCCAAGGUGGCAAGAGAAAAUGUUUUCAUUUGCAGCAUGUCUGGGACAGAUAGAAAUGUCUUUAAGCCUGAAGGUCUUCAGUGCUGGGUUUGUGGUUUUUUGCUUCAUUGACCCCGUUCCUGGCUGAUUAGAUAAUGAGAGAAAAGUGUGCUGUUAACAGCUCCGGAGCAACGUGCUGCAAAUUUAGGGAAAUGAAAAAUCUUUAACAAGAAUUGAAAGGAAAUCAUUGAUUUAUGGCAGGACCUUCAGCUAAGCAUGGAUUAAUUAAAAAGCAAUGCAAAGAUGAGCACGGGUCAAGAAAUGAGCAAAGAUUGAAUUUUGCCAGGAGCGGGACCGUGAGCGGGCACGUGGGUGAGUGAUAACAACACCUGGCCAUCUGCAGAGAGGGGGGAAAAUUCCUCUUGGCAAAAGCUGAAAUGUCACAAGUGAAAGGCAACCAGCAAAAUGUCAGCAGCUGCUCUGGAGAUGGUGCUCAGAGGAAAACACAGACAUUCUCUUACACCAUGGCCAUAGGUGUGGUGUUGUCCUAUUUAUAGGGCUAAGGUAAUCAGGCAGCACCCCAGAGCCAAAAAUGCAUCUUGGGAGUUAUAACAGAUAUCUCCUGGCACAUGGUGGGAGAACACAGAGGCGGGGAUCUGUCUCCAGCUCCAGCCGUGGGAGCAGCAUGGAAAGGGCAGCUCCUAGCAGUCCCCAGGCACCCACAGCACUGCUGAGUGGCAGGGAGUGUUCGUGCACACACACAGCUCCCAGUGGGAUAUAGGUAGGGAGCAAGGAGGUUGGGUCAUGCAUUCCCACUCCAGGGAAUGAAAAUGUUGCCAUUUUUUAAAAUGUGGGUUCAUUGUCAUGUUACUGUGAUGGUUGUUUCAGUCUGUGGACUAAACAUAGGCUUUCUUAAUUAUCUAAUCCAUUUAAUUUGUGAAGUGGAGGGGUUUAUGAAGGCAGAUUUUUUGGCUGUGCUGGUGAGGUAGUAAUAAUUCAGAGCCACAGUUAUGAAGUGCUGUUUAGUAGUGGUGGGUUUAGACUUUUGGUUAUUGUGUGCAUUUAUUUUUCUUUAUGGUUUUGUAAUUAUUUAUAUUGGUAACAGGGAGUUUGUGAACACCACUCUGUUGUUGUGCUCAUAUGAAAGAGCAAUAUUGUUUGCAGAACAAUUAUUUGGAAUUUUCCCCCCCCCUCUUAGCUACCUUGUCAUUUGAACAUAAGCAUGUAGGCUGAUUGUAAUGGGAAAACAAGGAAUUACAAUUAUUAACCAAGGACAAGGGAUUGUAUUUUACAGAGGGGGAAGAGAGACAGUGUGUUCCAGCUGUUCACCCAGAUGCUCAUACACUAUCAUCCUCGCUUCUCCAGUAGAAAUCUGUCAUCCUAAGUCUCUUUGCAAAUCCAGCAAAAAAAGUAAUUUUUGCAUUUUCAACCCUUGGCACCCUGUUAACUUGUCCCCAUGCCAGUUCCCAGGAGUUCCUGGUAGCUGCUGGAGUGGUACAAACUUUGCAGAGAAAUGCCAGCAUAAACAACUAGAGGCAAAAGAUCAAAAUCUCCUAAAAGAUGUAGAAGCACAAGUCCUGGUGAGAAUCACUGGGAUUCAAAACCUCCUCCGUUAGCUGCCAUGGAGAGAUCCAACCCUGGAUCCCCAAAAGAGGAACAUUUUUAUUGAGGCAUCAGAUUCCUGGAGGGGAACAGCUCUGCCCUGUGGCUUGUCUGCUUCAAUGGAAGGGAAUUAACUUCCAGAAGGUUCAGGUUUCCCUUUGCCAUAUACUGCUGCAGAGGUUCUCCUUGGUGUCCUUAAAAAUAUCUUCCCUUAGCCAUUAGUCUUUUGGAAUGAUGAGGAAUUGCAAUGACUCUUCAAACAGCAUCAACAUUCAGUGCUCUUCCUCCCCCAUCCACAAUCAUAAAAAAUUUGAAUUAGGGUUCCCAGAGACCGUUUUGGAGAGUAUCAUAAUGGUGGGAGUUGAGAAAAAAAAAAAAUUGAAGAGGAACUUUUUAUGAUCAGUUUAACUCAUCUAGCCAAAAAAAAAAAAAAAAAAAAUAAAAAUCACUGAACUCAUCUUGAACAUUUUCUCCUUGAGUGGAGGAUUCCAGCAGUGGAAAAAAAAGCACUUUGGGAAGCAGUGGAGGGAAGUUUACACAGAUGGUAUGAGAGAACUGGCAUUGUGCUUGAAGAUGUGGUGGGCCAGAGAAAAAGCUGUCCUAAAUAGAAGGGACAAGAUACUGGGUUUAAUUUAGAAAUGCUAUUGGCAUUUUUGUUACCGGAAUGAAGGGAGCCAUGAGUCUGCAAAUGAAACAACCCAAACCCUUCACCACAACCAUGGAGUGCAGCAAAAGUGCAGCAGCUUGGCAUUUGCAGGCUUUGAAUUUUUUUCCUUUGUCUCGCCAGCUUCUGGAGUGCUCUCUCACCUAUUUAGUUGCUUAAAGGUAGCUUGUAAGUACAAAAUGUCAGCCUGGGCUGAUGCUGCAAAGAUUUUUCCAAAAUUCCAGCCAUUCCUUUGGUUUAGCAACUGUAAAGCUCUUGCAACUAUUAUCAUUUGUGGUGGUCACAAGGAAGUGACACUGUCCAAUAAAAUCCCCACCACAAGUCAAGCUACUUAGCAAGGACGUAAUUUAGACCUUGGUUUGACAGCUUUUUUUCCUACUCCAUGUGAAUUGACCAAGUUCAGUUCUUUGUUAGAGGCAUUUGGAGCUGUUUGAGGUUUUCUAACAGUACAAGAGAAAGUGGUCCCCAGUAUGCCAUCCUUCUCCUUGCUUAUGAAAAUAUACUCUAAUAAAAGUACUGGAAGAACUGAGAAAUAUGGUUAGUAACUACUUGGUAAAACUGGAUUAAGAUUUUGUUCUAUUUAUGUUAACAAUAAUCAUUGUGGUUUAGUGGCAUUUAAAACAGCUGGAACCUUCUGUUUCAGCUGGUGUUUUGAUAUGUCAUUUUUGCUUGGACUUUGGUCCUGAUUUUCUGGUCUAUGUGAAACAGGUAAAUCAUUUAUGUAUCUCAGAGGAGUGCUUUUAAUUUAGGAACUUAGAGAAUUACCAAGGGUGGUUAUUUUAAUCUCUGCCACUCAGUCACGAAGGGCUAGGUCAGAAAGCAGAUUUAGGAAUAUAAAUUGGUAGAGAAGUCAAAUUCAGGUACUAUGCCUGUAAACUAAAUCUGAAGCCCCAAAACCCUGUUUGAAGUCUCUGCAUUUUGAAGUCCUGUACAUGCUCAAGGGCACCUGAAUCUUGAUAAACUUCAGUGUGAUAAAAUUCUCUCUUGGUGGGGGAAUCCAGCUGGGAAGGGAAUCCUCCAUGCCAAUGCCACUGUACCCUGAAUUUACUGCCCAGGGCUGAGUGAAUGCCUGCAUGUGCCAAACUGCAAAAACGUGUAGAGGGAGCAUCUUUAGCUCCAGUACAUUGGAGCUGCUGUAGAAUGACCAGGGAAAAGCGCUGGGAGGUCUGCGGGACUGCGGUGGCCGAUUAGUUUAACUCUACUGGGUGUGUUACAGCCCCCAGCAGCAGAUUAGAUGUCAAGUUUAUUGUGUACUGGGAUAAGUUCAGCCACUCCUUAUCUCCUGAAAGCGCCUGCCCCCCUGGGCAGGGCUUCCAGGAUAAUUUGAGUGUGAAAGGAAAAGAGCAGAGGCUGUAGAGAGAACUAGCAGCUGCCCAAAGUAACCCUGUCUUGGCUUCCAGGUUGCAGAGCCCAGAAAAUGGCAGAUUUCAUAACGGAAGGUAAAAUUUUGGAGGUUAAUAUCUCUGGAGGUUAUUUUGUGGGGCAAAAUUGCCUCUGAUUCUCCAGAGGAUUUGAGAAACUCUGAAAAGAGAGUUUGGAGAAAAAGCAAGUAUGACCUUACCUGGUGCUGUGCAGCAAUGUAUUGGUCACAGUCUGUGAUUUCGAUGUUAAAUUAUCUGGGAAAAUGCAGUAGUUAUAUCAUCAUAAAUGCAGAGUUUAAUAUUCAUCACGUUUUGUUUUCAUUUUGUUCUGUAAUAUGCUCUUCCCCACACUUUCUGUAUAAGGACUGUCAGAGGAAAAAAAGAGACGCAAAUCUCAUCUUUGCAGCUUGCAAAGGGUGUGGGAAAUCCAAUAAUCCAAAUAAAGUAUAAUUUAAAUUAAAAAUCAGAAAUAAAAAAUUAUAACAACAAUAACAACAACAGUAAUAAUGUUUGGGACAUUCAAAAGCAAUAAGGUCUUAGUCCUACAAGGAAGCAGGCUGGGAUUCAAGCAUAUGUAGAGGUUUCCACCAAGAAAUACGGGUUGAAACAUACAAAAAGCUCUAGAACUAGAAAGAAAUUCUUGCUUUAGUGCUCUCUGUUUAUUACAAAGGAUUUACAUGAAACAUUAAAGGGCUCAGCCCCGACCAGGCAGAGGCAAGGCUGGCAGGAGAGGGAAGCAACCAAAAGGAAGUGCCGAUAAUGUCUCUCACCACUGAUACCUGGGUCUGUGCAGAUAGUUAAUAGAUAACGCCUCUGGAGAUAAGUUCUCCCAAACCAAGAGAAUUCCUUCUUUUCGUGCCCUGCAAAUGGUUUCCUUUGUCUGGUCCUUUCAGCAGCUCUCGACAACAUCUGCAGGGGAAGUGGCUCCCUCCUGAUGCAAACUUUUCGGGGCUGCCCGGGGGCUCUGCUCUCUCUCCCAGCCCGGAGCCCAUCACCCCCAGCAGGAGGGUUUGCCUUCUGGACCUGCCGCUUGUCUUUCAGAUGCAAAGCGGGCAACUCCUGCCCCAGACUUUGUCAAGAGAUUUGGCUGCGGUGAAGCAAUCCGAGGCAGGGCAGAGCCUGCAGAAUGCAGUGCAGAUGGAGGAAUGACUACACAACUGGGUUUUCAUGUCGGGAGCCUAGGGUCCAGUGGUAAUUUAUGCCUGUGCAGUCCCACAGGCAGAUAAUGAACAUGUGUUACAUUUGCUGUGGGAAUGCCGAACUGUUAAAGAACAGCAGGCUGUAACAAAACUCUAGGAAAAGCCAUAUCCUGCUGUCAUUUCAUAAUGGACAUGAGGUUUGACCAUAGCACAAUGUGGGAUGUGUGGCAACUUUUGCACAGGACUAGCUUGGAGGGACUUUUUGGAUAAUGCAGUGAACAUCUUCAGAAAAUGAAGCUAAUGAAAAAAUGCUCUAACCGAACCCCCGUGAGAUCCAGAUUUUUCCUUCUCAGGGAAUGUCCUAUGGUUGAGUUUUACUUCCACUCCUAAUGAAAGCAAUAAAACAAUCCAGAAAGCCAUUACAAAGCAUGAUUAUGAAUACAGUAAUUGUUGGUCAAUCAAGUGAUUUGUUUGAAUAAAAGCUAAAUAUUUAAUUUAGAUGUCAACUUGAAAUAGUAUGGAAAAUAGGGGGAAAUGUUUUGCAAUGUAAAAUUGAAAAUGUCGUUUUGAAAAUGCAGUAACAUUCAAUUUUCAGCAAGCCAAUUCUUUUGCUUUUCUCUUCAAAAGGAACAUUAAUCAAGCUCAUCACUGUUAGGCAGAUGUUUUGUUUUCUUGAAUUGGCAGUUUCUGAGAGUUUAAAUGUAACUGACUUGUAUGUUAAAUACCAAAAGAUAUCUUUAAAAGGUGAUGUAAUCCCAAGGAGUUAAAAGUGUUGCUGAGAACCUAUGCUAUCCAAAAAAUACCAGAAAGAGUCCUACAGUUGAAGGUUUGGAUUUUUUUCCCUUGGUCAGAAAUAUUUGUAUGGAUGAAAUUAUAAUAAGGAUCAGAAAAAAGAUUAAACAAUUUCACUGAUUUUUCCCUGGGUCUAGAACUUCUGUUUAUCAGAUGGUAUUUUUUUUACCGAAGUGGAACAAGCCAGAAUACUGUGUCACUUUUAUUUUCACAGGCUAAGUCUAAGAAAAAGCCCUAAAAUAUUUCCUGACCAACUGAAAAGGUAUCCUAGAGGAGCAGGUGCUUGUUGGUGAGGUAAAUAAUGUUUUCUGGUCAAGUCCAGCUGCAGCUGUUUGGGUUUUUAGACAUUGAUUUGCAUGGCAGCCUGGUGUAGCGGGGAGAGAAAUCAGCCCCGAUGACACCUGUGGGAAGCUGCUCUUCUUGGGGCUGCAAUUAAGCUCCACAGUAGCUUUUGGGAAUCAAUGGGAAUUAAAUGCAGAUAACAGGCAUUAAUGGAGCAUUUAUUGGAAAUAAUUUAAAUGGUGUUUAGUGGUGGCUUAGUUAAUGGAAAUUAAUGACUAACUAGGGUUUGGGUACAGGCAGAACUGCUGGAAUGUGGCGAAAGUCAAUACAGGCAGCUCCAAAUGGCAGGGGUAAGGAAGUGCUUAUUGACAAUAGUGAUCUUCAAUAUUUUCCAUUGGAACUAUAAUCUGAUUCAGGCCGUGUUGCUGUGGACUUCGCCCAGAGCACAGGGAAAACAAAUUAUUAAUGAUAUUGUAAAUGCAAAGUGUCACUAAUCUAGUAAGUUGCUAUGCUGGGUAUUGAAAUAAUUAAUGCAGUAGAUCAUUCUUAAUUAUAGUUUUGUAUUUACAGACAAACUGAAACUGAGGCUGGUAUUGAUUAAAAGAGGUGCCAUAUUGCAGACUUUUCUAACCCUGUAACUAUAUUGUUCUUGAAUUUCAUACAGUGUAGCUUAGCUUUUUACAUCUGAUUUGAAUUACUUGAAUGUCUUAAAGAUCUGUGUUCCAACCAGAUGUGAGAAAUUGCUUUGGUUUGGAAAGUUUCAAGGAAGGACCACCAAAUAAUGAGGGAAAAACCAACUCUCUAUUAUUUUCCCCCUACACCUUAGUGGAAAAUAUAGAAAAAUAGUAUCUUAAUUUAUUAAUACAACUUGGGAUCCUGUCGGGAAAAUGUUCCUUACCUGCAAAGUUUCUUUAUCUUUCUUUCCAGCCCAAGAUUAUAUACUGGACUUGAUAAACCUCUGUAACUGAGAGACUUAAACAUUUCUACACAUAGUAAUACUAUUUACUGUGCUUUAUGCAUGUUCUGUCACACAGCCAACUCUUUAACUAGGCAGGAUUUCUCUAGUUUAACUGCUGGUUUAACUACAAUAAUUGGCUGUACUGAGAGAAUACAUAUAGCCCAGUUAACUGUAGUAAAACCACAGACUUUUUUUUCUCUUUUUCUUGUCAUUAAACUUCUAGAUAUUUUUAAAAUUUAGUUAUUAAAAAAAUAACUAAAAUGUUCAGUUUAAUAUGAAGUCAUUACCUUUUAACAGAAAGGCUUGUACAUAAUUUCCUGUAAGGAAUCAGAUCAUAUACUAAUUCUGCUCCACAUUUUGUUUUGUUGUGUCUAUUUGAGAGAAGUACUUUAAGUCUCAGAAUCUAUUCUCUUUUGCAAAGUUAUGUGAUAAAAAUUAGAGACAUUCUAGUUUCCAAAAUUUUCCCUGCCACAUAUGGAAAACCUUCCAUUCCUGUGAAAUUCUCAUCGGUGAACUGGGAAUGACUGCUAGAAACUGACCACAAAGAGUAUGAGUAAAGCCAAGUGAAAUGAUCUACAAAGGGUAAAUAAAGGUUGGAGAUUUCUUUGGAAAUAUUUCCAGAGCUCUGUUGAACAAGUCACUGAAAUCUGGAAGAAUUACCUGGUUUGUUAUGCCAUAUAACAGUGUUUCAUAAUGACAUGAAUUUCAAGCUAGUGGCAAAAGCUGCAAUAAGCAGGUUACUAUUACCUCACAAAGAUAUCAUCUGUACUUCCUUGAGAGAAGUCCAAGGAGUACAGAGACCACGUUUCAAGUACUAAAAAUGGCUGGAGAAUAUAAUUGGCAUCAUUCCUUUUCAUUAUACCUGGUGGUUUGUUCCAGGAUUUACAGUCUUGACCUUGAUGUGCCAUAAACAGAGCCUUCAUUUAAAAGGGAUUAAGGCUGGUUAUGUGUGAUAACCCACCUUAACAUAAAUGCUGUCUUUUAGAAGAUGCCAAGUUAUGGAACACCCCCUACCCAUUCCAUUGCCAAUGGCUACAACACUGCUUUGGAGAACACCUCCUUGCCACCCAGGGAAAGCAGAACAUCCUAAGGAUGAGUCUUCCCAGGGUCCAAACCCCUGUCUUAGGAAGGCCAUCCACAGCACCAUUAUUUGGGAUUGACAGACGUGGCAGUGCUUUCUGAAGUUCUUUGGGCAGAGCCUCAGUCAAGAGACCCUCCCAGGGGUGAUUCAACCUGAAUUCCACAGUCUCAUGAAGGCAGAGCUUUGGCUUGUGAUUUGGGCAAGGUUCAGCCCAACUUCACACUGAGUGGGGCCUCCCUGGCUCCCAAACUGGUGCUCAGGUCAGGUCAGCUCAGAAUUAAAGAGCUGGAACUGCCUGUACAUCUGUUGAGUCCCCCCAAAGUCUGAAGUACAAACCAUAAGGGCAACCAAAUGCUAAGAAUUAAACCUUUUUCCUAUACACAGCUCUCAGAUGAACCUGGUCCCCAUUGUUGCUCCUCUCCAGCAGGAAUUCUGGGGAAAAUGGCCAUUUCUCUGCAAAUUCCUUCCCACAUAGCACACACACACACACAGACAGGGGGUUGUGAAAUUGCACCUUCACCGAGGGUUUUGUUACAGGCUGGGUUAAGCCCUGUUGAAAAUGGUAGGUUUAACCACCGCCCUUCUCUUCAGCGGCACUGGAGGAGACAGUUCAGCACAUGUUCCUGCCCAAAACAAAGGCAUAUGUAAGGUUGCCCAGGAAUUCCAAAGAUCUGGGUGGGGAGCCUUGCAGAGUUUGUUUUGGGCAGGGAUGCAUGUGGAAAAAAGGCAGAGCAGGCUAAGCAGCAGAGAUGGGGCUCAGAGCAGGCUGGGAGGAAGGUGGGCAGCCUGCAGGAUCCUGGAGAGAGGGAUUUCAGUCCUUGAGCUUUCCUGGGCAGCAGGACCAAGGAAACCUUCUCCGCUUCCAUGAGAGAGGAAAAGUGAUUUAGCAGUGGUUCACAAUGGGCAGCUGUGAAUCCACGCCUGUUCAAAGCUGUACACAAUUGUAGUCGUCUCAAGUAACAAAAAAUGGGAUAAGCACACAAGAAAGUGGAAUCAAGAGAUUUGCUUGCCUGUGUUCCUGGAAAGCAGGGCCAGAAUACCUUGUCACUACCUCCAGCCAUUACAGAAUUGUGAAAAUCUGGUUAUUUUUUAGGCUGAAAAUGAGACAGUUUAAGGAAGCCCUUACAGGUCCAUUCUUAUAUUAAUUGAAAGUCACAGUCUGAACAAGAUUAUUUGAAAAUUCCCAGACAAUUCAGCCUCUGCUGUGUAGACUAUGAACACUGAAUUCAGUAAAUUCUGUAUACAGCUGGAACAAAGUGUCUGAGACCUUCUUUAGUUAAUAAAUGUAAGUGAAAUAUUUGAACAAUCUGAUAACAAACACUCAGACAGGCCCCAGACUGCUUAUUUAAGUCACAGUUGUAACAAGAGCUCUGGAAGAUUUACCUGUGGUAGGACUGCAGAUGUGGUUACUCAGAGAUUUUUGGUCAUAUUUUCAAACUCAUAUAACUGUACUUUAUUUCUGUAUAUUUCAGCUGGGGCAGCACCCAGAAACAGGGAUUUACAGCCCUUUAUUCCCUCCAUCAUUCACCUUGAAGGCCAUGCAGCCCUCACUCCUAGAGCUGCUGAUAUAAAGAUAAUCAUCUUUGGAGUGAACUUCCUAGGAACCAAGUCCUCCUCCAGCUGGAGGCAAUGGAAAUACUGUUGCUGACUGCAGUGGCAGUAAAUCUCAGCUCUAUCAUUUUUUAUGACACCUCUUCUUGCAACAGAUACGUUUACUGGAUCGUUCACUGCUAAUUGCCUGCAUUUUUUCCCUUCAUGUUAUUAAAUGCAAUUUGUAACAUAUUUCUCAUUUUUUAACAAGAAAAAAUAGCAAGUUAUGGAAAGGAAGAACUGUCUAUGUUGAGCAGAUCUCUUAAAUAUUGAACUUAUCUCAUUUGUCUUCCUUUUCUUUAUCCAUCCAUUUAAAAGGAAGAUGUUUAUGAUGUGAGGUUUGGCAAAUAGCUCAUAAAAAGUAAAUCUUAUUUUGUUGUGAUGCAGAGAGAGGGGAAGGAGAAAUCCUGUAAUUUCAGCAAUUUCUUUUUCUUUUUCACACUAAGUUACAACUCAGCCUGAGUUGAAAUGACAGAUACCAAUCCCAAGAAUCAAGAUUAUCAGUGGAAAUGCCAACUGACUCUUCAGAACAGCGUUGUUAGUGGCACCACUCUUUUACUGGAGUGAAUCCAAAGGGCGUUUGCUCUCAAAUCAAGCAUUAUGUUCUCACUUUUCUAGUCUCACAUCAUUUAUUUGAAAGCCAUUGUUUCCCCUGGUUCACAGCCAUCCCCACGUGUGUGAUCAGAAACAUUAACGUGCCAUAUUUUAUCUGCCCCUGGGCAUCAGUGCUCAAGGUGUUGAUGCUGAUGUAGGAUGAGGAUGCUCACCACCUCUCCAAGCCAUGGACAUGGUGAAGGUGAUGACUACGGGCUCUUAUAAAUGCACUUAGGGGUUGUGGUGUUGCAAUCCAAGGCUGCCCACGUGUUGUUUUUGUGUCUCAUUUCUUCACAGAGAACCGCUGCCGGUUCUAUCAUUUGUUAAUGUUUCCAUGAUGAGCUUUCCAUACUAUUUUUACUUGAUAAUUCUUAAUCAAGGCAGGAAUUCUGCUUUCAGCAGAGCAGGAUAAAGCACUGACCUCCACAGCACUGAAUGUUUGUCCUCUCUCCCUUUCUCAUCCACCAAAUUCCACCUUGUGUGGACUCACCAGACACUGGGAACAGAGCUCUCCUCACAGAAUGUGGAGCGAGAUACACUCUGAGCUCAGUCACUCCCCUUCCCUGUGGAGAUAAUGGGAAAAACCAGAAACCUGUAUGCUGUGAUUCACCUUACCUGUCCCAGACAUCUGGGAGAACUGAGAGCCAACAGUGCCUCACACCGUGCUGACCGGUUCAGACACUUUCUUGCACUGUGGAUCUCCCUCUGCUCAGCUGAACCCCACGCCUGCUUUUCUUAAUAUGACCUUAAGUAUAAUGUAACUCCACCUCAAGCCAUUGUUUUUUGUGAUUUAUACAAAUUUCCAAACCUUUAGUCUGCUUGUCUUGAAGGCAUUUUAAUAAAUGGGUGCAUCACAGGAUUUCAGAAAAUAACUGAAGUCACCACAGGACAAAGCAGCGCUGACCACACACUAAAAGCUGUCCCUCUGUCUCUCACUGAAAUGAACAUUUCAGUAUCAGCAGGAAGGAGUAUUCCACAGUUGGGAUCUGGUAAGGUGGUCACAAUCUUCUGCAUGGACUCACUCAUGAUAGAGAAGGAUUCUUUUGCAAACAAGAAGAUGUCAUACUGCAAACAGAAACCAAGGAAGUUCUUUUGUUACGAGAUGUUAAGUGACAUGCUUGGUACUUCUGUCUUGAGUGGUUUGGGCUUCCUUUAAAAAUUAAGGUGUGAAAUUAGUUUAUUGGAUCCUGUCUAAAAAGCCACAGAGCCUCCUAGAUUGAAUCCUGUCCUUCACUGAUUUUUAUUUUAAAAAACUUGCUUAUCUGUAAUUUCUGCCAGUGGCUUUAAAGCAGAUUGCCCCACAGUUCUGAAAGGUGACAGAGUGAGAUGUCACUCAAUAGGGUUGGCAUUAUCUAGAUUCCCUUUAACUGCUUAAUUUUGCUAACUAGGCUGUCCAAAAUCCCGGUGAGCACCCAAACCCAAACUUUGCACACAUGAACUUUUGCCACCAACCAAAUAAAUCUCUCAUUUUGACUACAGAAAAAGCUAACUUUCCAUCUGAAUUUUGGAGUCUGGGUUUCCCUCUACUUCCUGCAAGAGAGCGUUGUUACAUCAACUCCUUGCAGAGUUCCUGUCUAAUUGAACCACUAGUGGCAUGCAUAUGUGCUAAAUAAAGGAAUGUCAUUAAAAAUUUAUGAGUGACUUACACUUUGAAGCAAUAGAGUGUUAAAGACUUAAAAAGAUUUUUUUUUCCUUCCCUCCCCCGCUCAGGUCCUUCAGACCAGGAAUUAUUUGCAAUGCACAGAGCUCAUUUGGGAUUUGACCACUGUUAUUAUUAUUCCCUUUUGCAGUGUACUAUGCCCACAUCUUUUUCAAUUUCCAUGAAUAUUGACCAAGAUCUAAGCAGUGAGGUGAUGUGAAACCCUCUCAUUGAUUUUCAAACUAUGCAACCCAUAGAUAACUCACCUUACCCUGGGCCCAGAUUUGCAUGAAACUGGGGGCUGAUUGUCUCAGAAAGUGAAUCCAGCCAGAAGUCCAACCAAUCCCUGCUGGGUGUGAAGCACAGAGUGAAGUUACAAUGGUAGGUUUUGGAUGGCUCCAGGGUUUGUAAUGGAUGCUUUGCACAGCUGUAAUGAUGAGUGGGUGAAAAGAGUUGAGAAUGAAUCAAGUGUGGGUGGUGGAAAUAUUUGCUGGGCAUGUCACAGCCAGGGGAGGAAGCACAGGGGCCUCCCAGCCUCAGUGAUGGGAAAGAUGUCAAGGUUCCCUGGACAUGGGCCCUGUUUAUUUAUUUAUUUCAGCUCUGACACGCUCCCUGUAAGAGAGCAAAAAAUGUGACUUCGAUACCAUGUCUUUUAAAAGCAGGGAGCUGAUUGUGGCUGAGCAGCAGAGCUCUCCUAUAAUCUGCUUCCCAACGUGUGGGUGCCUCUUGGGUUUCCUCAGCUAUUUUAUGGCCCAUUUUCAAAGAUUUUUGUAAAACCAGGCCAACAACGUCUGCAUCCCCUACCACAUCAGUGAAAAGUUGGACCAUGUUUCAGAGCCAUGUAAAUUCCUUCUAUAAGAAACAUUUACAUUUUUACAAAGUGUAAAUUUAGCAGACCACGGGGUGAAUUCCUCCCUCAUCACAUUGCAGCUGCCACAGGGAUGGCUUGACUAAUAGUUUACCAGGAGUGAGCAGAAAAAAGUGCAGCACGUGUACCAUUACAAAGGUUUCUUCCAGGAUUGCCGUGACUUGUUCAGAUAGUUGAUAAGAUAAUUAAUUCUUACUGUUCGUGUAUUUUCAUGAGAACUUACCUAUGAGUAAACAAAACUCCAAGCCUAGUUGGUGUUUCUUUAUUGUAUUAUUACAUGGCUCUGUAAGUGCAAUAAAGCAAUCUCCCGACUUC